rnacentral:rRNA from 1 species
UACAGAGGGGGCAAGCGUUGUUCGGAAUUACUGGGCGUAAAGGGCGCGUAGGCGGCCUGCUAAGUCGAACGUGAAAUCCCCGGGCUCAGCCCGGGAACUGCGUCCGAGACUGGCGGGCUUGAAUUCGGGAGAGGGAUGCGGAAUUCCAGGUGUAGCGGUGAAAUGCGUAGAGAUCCGGAAGAACACCGGUGGCGAAGGCGGUCUGCUGGGCAGUAGCUGACACUGAGGCGCGACAGCGUGGGGAGCAAACAGG